GGUUAAGCGACUAAGCGUACACGGUGGAUGCCCUGGCAGUCAGAGGCGAUGAAGGACGUGCUAAUCUGCGAAAAGCGUCGGUAAGGUGAUAUGAACCGUUACAGCCGGCGAUGUCCGAAUGGGGAAACCCAGUGUGAUUCGUCACACUAUCGUUAACUGAAUACAUAGGUUAACGAGGCGAACCGGGGGAACUGAAACAUCUAAGUACCCCGAGGAAAAGAAAUCAACCGAGAUUCCCCCAGUAGCGGCGAGCGAACGGGGAGCAGCCCAGAGUCUGAAUCAGCUUGUGUGUUAGUGGAACGGUCUGGAAAGUCCGACGGUACAGGGUGAUAGUCCCGUACACCAAAAUGCACAGGCUGUGAACUCGAAGAGUAGGGCGGGACACGUGGUAUCCUGUCUGAAUAUGGGGGGACCAUCCUCCAAGGCUAAAUACUCCUGACUGACCGAUAGUGAACCAGUACCGUGAGGGAAAGGCGAAAAGAACCCCGGCGAGGGGAGUGAAAAAGAACCUGAAACCGUGUACGUACAAGCAGUGGGAGCACCUUCGGGUGUGACUGCGUACCUUUUGUAUAAUGGGUCAGCGACUUAUAUUCUGUAGCAAGGUUAACCGUAUAGGGGAGCCGCAGGGAAACCGAGUCUUAACUGGGCGUUAAGUUGCAGGGUAUAGACCCGAAACCCGGUGAUCUAGCCAUGGGCAGGUUGAAGGUUGGGUAACACUAACUGGAGGACCGAACCGACUAAUGUUGAAAAAUUAGCGGAUGACUUGUGGCUGGGGGUGAAAGGCCAAUCAAACCGGGAGAUAGCUGGUUCUCCCCGAAAGCUAUUUAGGUAGCGCCUCGUGAAUUCAUCUUCGGGGGUAGAGCACUGUUUCGGCUAGGGGGUCAUCCCGACUUACCAACCCGAUGCAAACUACGAAUACCGAAGAAUGUUAUCACGGGAGACACACGGCGGGUGCUAACGUCCGUCGUGAAGAGGGAAACAACCCAGACCGCCAGCUAAGGUCCCAAAGUCAUGGUUAAGUGGGAAACGAUGUGGGAAGGCACAGACAGCCAGGAUGUUGGCUUAGAAGCAGCCAUCAUUUAAAGAAAGCGUAAUAGCUCACUGGUCGAGUCGGCCUGCGCGGAAGAUGUAACGGGGCUAAACCAUGCACCGAAGCUGCGGCAGCGACACGAUGUGUUGUUGGGUAGGGGAGCGUUCUGUAAGCCUGCGAAGGUGUGCUGUGAGGCAUGCUGGAGGUAUCAGAAGUGCGAAUGCUGACAUAAGUAACGAUAAAGCGGGUGAAAAGCCCGCUCGCCGGAAGACCAAGGGUUCCUGUCCAACGUUAAUCGGGGCAGGGUGAGUCGACCCCUAAGGCGAGGCCGAAAGGCGUAGUCGAUGGGAAACAGGUUAAUAUUCCUGUACUUGGUGUUACUGCGAAGGGGGGACGGAGAAGGCUAUGUUAGCCGGGCGACGGUUGUCCCGGUUUAAGCAUGUAGGCUGGUUAUCCAGGCAAAUCCGGAUAAUCAAGGCUGAGGUGUGAUGACGAGGCACUACGGUGCUGAAGUAACAAAUGCCCUGCUUCCAGGAAAAGCCUCUAAGCAUCAGGUAACAUCAAAUCGUACCCCAAACCGACACAGGUGGUCAGGUAGAGAAUACCAAGGCGCUUGAGAGAACUCGGGUGAAGGAACUAGGCAAAAUGGUGCCGUAACUUCGGGAGAAGGCACGCUGGUGUGUAGGUGAAGCCCCUGCGGGUGGAGCUGAGACCAGUCGAAGAUACCAGCUGGCUGCAACUGUUUAUUAAAAACACAGCACUGUGCAAACACGAAAGUGGACGUAUACGGUGUGACGCCUGCCCGGUGCCGGAAGGUUAAUUGAUGGGGUUAUCCGUAAGGAGAAGCUCUUGAUCGAAGCCCCGGUAAACGGCGGCCGUAACUAUAACGGUCCUAAGGUAGCGAAAUUCCUUGUCGGGUAAGUUCCGACCUGCACGAAUGGCGUAAUGAUGGCCAGGCUGUCUCCACCCGAGACUCAGUGAAAUUGAACUCGCUGUGAAGAUGCAGUGUACCCGCGGCAAGACGGAAAGACCCCGUGAACCUUUACUAUAGCUUGACACUGAACAUUGAGCCUUGAUGUGUAGGAUAGGUGGGAGGCUUUGAAGCGUGGACGCCAGUCUGCGUGGAGCCAACCUUGAAAUACCACCCUUUAAUGUUUGAUGUUCUAACGUUGGCCCCUGACCGGGGUUGCGGACAGUGUCUGGUGGGUAGUUUGACUGGGGCGGUCUCCUCCCAAAGCGUAACGGAGGAGCACGAAGGUUAGCUAAUCCUGGUCGGACAUCAGGAGGUUAGUGCAAUGGCAUAAGCUAGCUUGACUGCGAGCGUGACGGCGCGAGCAGGUGCGAAAGCAGGUCAUAGUGAUCCGGUGGUUCUGAAUGGAAGGGCCAUCGCUCAACGGAUAAAAGGUACUCCGGGGAUAACAGGCUGAUACCGCCCAAGAGUUCAUAUCGACGGCGGUGUUUGGCACCUCGAUGUCGGCUCAUCACAUCCUGGGGCUGAAGUAGGUCCCAAGGGUAUGGCUGUUCGCCAUUUAAAGUGGUACGCGAGCUGGGUUUAGAACGUCGUGAGACAGUUCGGUCCCUAUCUGCCGUGGGCGCUGGAGAAUUGAGGGGGGCUGCUCCUAGUACGAGAGGACCGGAGUGGACGCAUCACUGGUGUUCGGGUUGUCAUGCCAAUGGCACUGCCCGGUAGCUAAAUGCGGAAGAGAUAAGUGCUGAAAGCAUCUAAGCACGAAACUUGCCCCGAGAUGAGUUCUCCCUGAGACUUUAAGUCUCCUGAAGGAACGUUAAAGACGAUGACGUUGAUAGGCCGGGUGUGUAAGCGCAGCGAUGCGUUGAGCUAACCGGUACUAAUGAACCGUGAGGCUUAACCUU
rnacentral:rRNA from 1 species